AUAAACCACAACCCAACCCUAAUCCCCCGAGCCCCGGCCCAUCCCUCGCCCAGAGCCGCCGCCGCCCGCACCCAGCCUCUCCCUGACCCCGCCUCCACCCGCCGCCGCCACCCGCUGCCUGCUGGACGCGGGAGAGGGCCGCCUCCGCCAGCCGCCAACCACCUGCUCGAGCGACGCCACCGACCUGCGACCACCGGCGGCGGCGGCUUCCCCGGCACGCCGCGGCAUCCCCGGCGCGGCUGCUUCCGCGUCAGCGACCCCUAUGCGCCUCACCUUCCUGGCGGACGAGAGCAGAGGUCGCCUCCGACGCAUCUUGGCGUCCUGGCCGACGGGAGCAGAGGUCGCCGCCUGACACGCAUCCUCUUCCCGACCGAUGGGAGUGGAGGUCGCCACCCUGACGCGCCUCGUCUUCCUCAGGUCCUCCACGCCCUCCUCAUCCCGGCGGGUUGGAUCUGGCAUGUUUUUGAGUUCCAUUUCUCGAUUUUGAUUUAAUUUAUUUUCUUCUUUAUUUUCAUGCCCUGAUAUGUCCAUGAUUCGUGGUGGAUUUGCUUUGAUACCCACUAGGAAGAUUCACAUGUGUACGAAUUAUGUACAAAUUUUCAGUUGUUUGUUCUGUGAAAUAUGUUGUUUCUUCUUUACAGAUCGGAAACAAGUAUGAAACUGAUAUGUUUCUAUGAAGUAUGUAAAUCCUCUUUCCAGGUCGGAUAGUGCAUGAAUAUUGUUGUAUAUGUUGUGAAAAAUUCAUAUGAAAUAUUGUAUGGAUUUUGGAUGAA